rnacentral:rRNA from 1 species
GAGUUUGAUUAUGGCUCAGGAUGAACGCUAGCGGCAGGCCUAACACAUGCAAGUCGAGGGGUAACAGAAUAGCUUGCUAUUGCUGACGACCGGCGCACGGGUGCGUAACGCGUAUACAAUCUACCUUAUACAGGAGGAUAGCCCUAAGAAAUUGGGAUUAAUACUCCAUAGUAAUUUGAAUUCGCAUGAAUUUAAGUUUAAAACUUCGGUGGUAUAAGAUGAGUAUGCGUGAUAUUAGCUAGUUGGUAAGGUAACGGCUUACCAAGGCGACGAUAUCUAGGGGGCCUGAGAGGGUUAUCCCCCACACUGGUACUGAGACACGGACCAGACUCCUACGGGAGGCAGCAGUGAGGAAUAUUGGUCAAUGGAGGCAACUCUGAACCAGCCAUGCCGCGUGAAGGAAGAAUGUCCUAUGGAUUGUAAACUUCUUUUAUUUGGGAAGAAACCUACCCACGUGUGGGUAGCUGACGGUACCAAAAGAAUAAGGACCGGCUAACUCCGUGCCAGCAGCCGCGGUAAUACGGAGGGUCCAAGCGUUAUCCGGAAUCAUUGGGUUUAAAGGGUUCGCAGGCGGUUUAUUAAGUCAGUGGUGAAAUCUCGGGGCUCAACUCCGAAACUGCCAUUGAUACUGAUAGACUUGAAUAUAGUUGGAGUAGGCGGAAUGUGUAGUGUAGCGGUGAAAUGCUUAGAUAUUACACAGAACACCGAUAGCGAAGGCAGCUUACUAAACUAUUAUUGACGCUCAUGAACGAAAGCGUGGGGAGCGAACAGGAUNAGAUACCCUGGUAGUCCACGCCGUAAACUAUGAUUACUCGAUAUUGGCGAUACCCAGUCAGUGU